UACGUAGGGGGCAAGCGUUGUCCGGAUUUAUUGGGCGUAAAGAGCGUGUAGGCGGUUUGGUAGGUCCGUUGUGAAAACUCGAGGCUCAACCUCGAGACGCCGAUGGAAACCAUCAGACUAGAGUCCGGAAGAGGCGAGUGGAAUUCCCGGUGUAGCGGUGAAACGCGCAGAUAUCAGGGAGAACACCCGUGGCUAAGGCGGCUCUCUAGUACGGUACUGACGCUGAGACGGCGAAAGCGUGGGGAGCGAACAGG
rnacentral:rRNA from 1 species